GCGGUAAUACGGAGGAUGCGAGCGUUAUCCGGAUUUAUUGGGUUUAAAGGGUGCGCAGGCGGUCUGUUAAGUCAGCGGUCAAAGCCCGGGGCUCAACCCCGGCCCGCCGUUGAAACUGGCAGUCUCGAGUUGGAGAGAAGUAUGCGGAAUGCGCGGUGUAGCGGUGAAAUGCAUAGAUAUCGCGCAGAACUCCGAUUGCGAAGGCAGCAUGCCGGCUCCACACUGACGCUGAGGCACGAAAGCGUGGGUAUCGAACAGGAUUAGAUACCCUGGUAGUCCACGCAGUAA
rnacentral:rRNA from 1 species